GUUGGAUCCUUUGCGCUAUGUGCUCGCACCCCUUCCCCCCAUAUCCCGCCCCUCCAGUGUCGCCGGCUGCGGUUCCUCCCAACCUUCUUCUGCGCUACGUGCUCUGCCCUCUCCCCCCUGGGGUUUCUGCGCUCGGAAUCCAGAAGGGGAGGCCUUCCAUCUAGCUCGUGGUGACUCCAGUGAGACUCAGAUUUGUCUCUGCUAGAAUCUUGCAAUGACAAUUUUUGACGAUGAUGAUGAUGCGGAGCCACAACUGAAGGUCGUUGACAACUACUAUUUUGAGAAAGCCAAGGACGAGUUUGUUUGUUUCAGCACCUUGCCCCUUAAGUUUGAUGAGAAUGAUAAAGUCUCCGGGAAGGGUAUCUACUUGCGUCGAUAUUCCGCAGAUGGCGCCCCUGCAGUAUACAAGCAGGUUGUAGCUUGGACAGUAGCACUUAACCGUGAGCAGCCAAAGAUCUCAGUGCUUUCAAGUGAGGGCUAUUGGAUAGAAUUGGAUCUAUUGAAACCACGGAAAAUCUAUUGGAAGUUUGCUCGAUCAGCAUUAACGACAGUUCAAAUGCUCCACUUUGUCAAAAGGCAACCCAGAAAACCGAUGAUAAGUCUUUCUGUUCACCUUCGUGAAGUAUUCAGUAAAUUUGAAACGGAAGAGAUGGAGGAUGCUUUAGGGAAACACCAUCACAUAAUCAAGCGAUGUGCAGAGAGGGAUCCUGCUUUAAUGAGGUCAAAGGUUCUGCAAAGCUUUAUCAAGGACACUUCUGGGAAAUACUUUGAGUGCAUAUUAAGGAGUCUGAGCACCAAGGAGUCAUUCAUUGUUGUUGCUGAGCCUCUUGCAAGUGGGGGUAAAGGCAAUUGCGAUACAGAUAGUGAUGGUAACAUAAUCGGCGAUGAUGGUGAUGGUACUGAGCCAAUAUGUGCAAUAUGUGACGAAGGAGGAGAAUUACUUAGCUGUAAAGGUCGAUGCAAGAGAGCCUUCCAUCCUACAAUAGAAGCUGGCAGAAAGUCUAAAUGUGUAACACUUGGUUACACUGCUGUACAAGUAAAGGAAAUGAAUAAGUUCAUAUGCGAAAACUGUAGAUAUGAACAACACUAAUGUUUCAAAUGCGGAGAACUCGACUCGUCUCAUGAGCCUAAUGCCAAGGUCUUUCAAUGUUGUAAACUGUUUUGUGGCCACUUCUACCACCCCAAGUGUGCUGCAGAAUUACUUCAGUCUCACAGUAAUGGAGCCUGUGAGUUGGAGAACAAGAUUGCAGCUGGGAUGCCAUUUCCGUGUCCUGUACAUUGGUGCUCCAGACCUGAUUGUAAAAAAAUGGAGGAAGGGACUGAAAGAGCAAUGUGGCUUGCUGGCUGCAGACGUUGUCCAAGGUCAUAUCACUUAGAUUGUUUGCCAAGGGAGAUAUGCUUUAAGUAUGGUAACGGAGGUAUACGUGCUUGGUUUCUAUCGGAAAGAAACCUAUCUAAAAGACUCAUCAUUUACUGCACAGACCAUGAGAUAGACCCAGCUAUGGGAACACCUUGCAGGGAUCAUAUAAAGUUCCCUGCUCUUCUAGAAAACAAAGGUCACGGUUCAACAGAAUCCACAAAGUUUCAGCACUCUGAGAGGAAACCAUUGUGUAGAAUUUUGAUGAUGGUCCUAAGGACUUUGAAGAUUUUGCCAAACCAGACAUGGAGGAGAGACCAAUACCAGAAGGAGUUUACAACAUCCAUGCAAGCUAAGGUGUUCUUGUCAACUACCUAUAGGGUUAAGACAUGUUGGUUAGGGUUCGAAGACAUCUUUGAAGUUUUUGAUUCAGACUUGCUUGAUAUUUCGUCCUUGAGCUAUGUUUAUGUUUAAGACUUUGCCAUAAUGGCCGUACUUAUGUAAAAGUAUUUGGUAUGUAUGGAUGUAACUUGUGAUACCAAUUUGGUUGUAAUCAUCGACAAACUGAUCAUGCUAUCGCUAUUGUAUGCAAAUGGGCAGUCCAGUCAGCUAGGUCGGGUCCCUACACAUGCCUACUAAACCGGUUUGGUUUGACUAUGAGUGAUCAUGUCGGUUUCAAGCGGUUGUUUGGUAGCAUGAUUUGUUUUGCUAGUGUGCCGAUUUUGUCGUUGGCGAUUAGCAACAAUAAACAUGCUAACAAAUAAGGCAAUUUUUGUGGCUAAAUGCCAUUUUUAUUCUGAGCUACAUGCAAGGAUUUGCUCCAUGGUUGCUCCGUAUGUCGGCUCAUGAUGCCUACGACAUAAAUGAUGUUGGGACUCGUAUUAACCAUGCAGUACAUGUCUUAAUGUUGUGCAACUAAGGGUCAUCACCCGUAGCGUUCUAAAAUUUAUGUGCAUUCUGUGGCCGCGCAGAGAUGCGAGGUACUGGGCACGACAGUGUUGCAGUCCAUAGUGGCUGGUGGUAUACCAUUUAUAUGAAUUUAUGGCAUAACAAGUUGGCAAUUAACUUAGCAAACAACCCAGUUCAACAUGAUUGACAAAUUCUUCAUCAAAGAAAAACUAGAUGUUCGAUUAUCAAGAGUGAGUAUGUGAGUUCAGGGCAACAAAUUGCAGAUUGCUUGACUAAAGGACUAGAAUAGAGAAUUCAGCUUGGUGUGUGACAAGAUGGGAAUGAUAGAUAUCGAUCGCCCCUCUUAAGGGGAAGUGUUGCUUGUGAGCCCAUAUCUAGGCUGGCACAUAAGGCCCAUGCCCAUGUACUUGACCUUGAAGAGGAGGUCGUGCAUGUUUGAGGCAUAGCGCCGCUCCCUUCCUCCUAGCUUAGCCUAACCCAACCCCCGCCCACUAGCCUCGCUGCCGGCAUAUUCUCGCCGCUAGCCCUCCAUUCCUAGCCCUCCCCGCCCAUGCGGCCCCAUGGCGUCCCCUUGUGAUAGCUCUGGCGACCUCAACCUUAGCCCCGCCAGCACGCACAACUAGAUGGACUUCGAGGGCCAGUCCUUUGCUCGGUCCUACAACGACGUCGCCCCCUCCCCCGAGCUAGGCACAAUUGCGGCUCCUUGGCGCGUUCCCGCCUCCGCUCGCCUGGGAACUUGCUUUGAGGUGCAUCGCGUCAAUGGAGGCGCGGAGGUUGACACAGGCGGCUUUCAGCUCUCGCGGUGCAAAAACCUGAUGGCUCCGCUCCGCUCCCUCCUAGCUUAGCCUAACCCAACCCCCGCCCACCAGCCUCUCUAUCGACAUAUUCUCGUCGGUAGCCCUCCACUCCCCGCCCUCCCCACCCAUUUGGCCCCAUGGCGUCCCUUCGCAAUAGAUCUGGCGACC